rnacentral:rRNA from 1 species
AGAGUUUGAUCCUGGCUCAGAUUGAACGCUGGCGGCAGGCCUAACACAUGCAAGUCGAGCGGAUGACGGGAGCUUGCUCCUUGAUUCAGCGGCGGACGGGUGAGUAAUACCUAGGAAUCUGCCUGAUAGUGGGGGACAACGUUUCGAAAGGAACGCUAAUACCGCAUACGUCCUACGGGAGAAAGCAGGGGACCUUCGGGCCUUGCGCUAUCAGAUGAGCCUAGGUCGGAUUAGCUAGUUGGUGAGGUAAUGGCUCACCAAGGCGACGAUCCGUAACUGGUCUGAGAGGAUGAUCAGUCACACUGGAACUGAGACACGGUCCAGACUCCUACGGGAGGCAGCAGUGGGGAAUAUUGGACAAUGGGCGAAAGCCUGAUCCAGCCAUGCCGCGUGUGAAGAAGGUCUUCGGAUUGUAAAGCACUUUAAGUUGGGAGGAAGGGCAGUAAGCUAAUACCUUGCUGUCUUGACGUUACCGACAGAAUAAGCACCGGCUAACUCUGUGCCAGCAGCCGCGGUAAUACAGAGGGUGCAAGCGUUAAUCGGAAUUACUGGGCGUAAAGCGCGCGUAGGUGGUUUGUUAAGUCAGAUGUGAAAGCCCUGGGCUCAACCUGGGAACUGCAUUUGAAACUGGCGAGCUAGAGUUUGAGAGAGGUAAGUGGAAUUUCAGGUGUAGCGGUGAAAUGCGUAGAGAUCUGAAGGAACACCAGUGGCGAAGGCGACUUACUGGCUUAAAACUGACGCUGAGGUACGAAAGCGUGGGUAGCAAACAGGAUUAGAUACCCUGGUAGUCC